CAUUUCAAAAGGUCACCGUCAGUAUAUUAAAGACCAUAUUUAGUUAUGACGUCUGAAACCGUAUACCGGGUUUUAGAGACUUCAGGAUAUCAGCUGUUUUGUUCCCAGAUAAUUUUGAGCAGUGUAACCGAGAUGCCUUCUAAAGUGAAGGAUGGAUGUAUUUAUCAGUAUAAAAACUGUAAAAUCUUGUGGAACCACAGGCUAGUGCAGGAAGAUCUGUGGGUACGUGAAGGCAAGAUCCUCAAUCCAGAAAAACUUUUCUUUGAUGAACAGGCCUAUGCAGAUGUACAGAUAGAUUGCCAAGGAUGUAUUAUAGCACCUGGGUAUAUUGAUGUACAAAUAAAUGGUGCCUUUGGUAUAGACUUUACUGAAACGGAAGAUAUAUGUUCAGGUUUACAGACAGUGUCUAAAGGUCUUCUAGAGCACGGUGUUACCUCAUUCUGUCCUACCAUAAUCACCAGUCCUAAACAAACUUACCACAGGGUUAUACCAAAAGUUCAGAAGUGCAAUGGGAGCAAGAAUGGAGCUGGUAUCCUAGGUCUACAUUUAGAGGGACCAUUUAUAAAUAAAGUUAAGAAGGGAGCUCACAAUCCAGAUAAUAUCAGGUCAUUUCCAAAUGGUAUCAGGGAUGUUGAUGAAAUGUACGGUGAUUUUGACAAUGUUGCCAUGGUUACCUUGGCACCAGAACUGGAGAGGUCAGGGGAGGUUAUACAGGAAUUAUGCAAAAGAGGUGUUAAAGUUUCAUUAGGUCACAGUUCAGCAGAUCUGGUUACUGGGGAGACGGCUAUUAACAAUGGAGCAUGUAUGAUCACACAUCUCUUCAAUGCCAUGGUGUCAUAUCAUCAUAGAGACCCUCAUUUGAUAGGUGUAUUAACAAGUACCCAUAUAGACGAGGGCCGACCAUUGUACUACGGACUGAUUGCUGAUGGUAUACAUACACAUCCCUCUGCUUUACGGUUAGCACAGAGAGUGCAUACUAAAGGGCUGGUGCUAGUGACUGAUGCUAUAUCAGCUAUGGGUCUGCCUACAGGGGAACAUUGGCUAGGUAAUCAGAAAAUUGAGGUGAAAGGCAAGCAAGCUACAAUAGCAGGCACUGAGACACUCUGUGGCAGGUAAUACAAUAGCAAGCACUAAGACACUGUGUGCCAGGUAAUACAAUAGCAGGCACUGAGACACUCUGUGGCAGUAUCGCAAAGUUGGACUACUGUGUGAGAAAUCUUUUAAAAAAUACUGGAUGUGGAGAGGUGCUAGCACUGGAGUCAGCAAGUUUACACCCAGCCAAGAUGCUUGGUAUCACUGACCGAAAGGGCACGUUGGA
rnacentral:misc_RNA from 1 species